UUAUUCCUCUCAAAUCACGAUCGCAAACUGGAGCCGAGAUGGUGUCAAGCCUUAGGACUGGGGCAGGUGGUCUCAAAACACACCGUCUCCCGUGAAAAGGUUGCAUUCAUUUAUCAGUAACGUGAAAAAUCUGCAUCAGUCAGGGAUAUUGUGGAUAUCUGUCUACACCGCUGAGAUGACAGAGGUGGAGCCGGUGUUGGAUUUUGCCUCAUCGGGCCGCUCUGGCCGUCGCAACGCACUGCCUGACAUCCUGGGGUCUCCUGUUGGAGUCCCGCCUGACCUGUCUCUUAAACUGGCAGAACUAUCCCUCACAGACGGUCCAGGUGAUGCUCAGUCCCCGUCUACGGAGGAACCCCCCACUCCUACAGAGAGCCCAGAGGUGAAGGAUGGUUCCUAGGUGGCUGAGUCUAUGCCUAAACCACAGAGAUGGGGCCUCAACAGCCCCCGCCUUUCCCCUGGAGCUCAUCCUCUACCGACUGUUCCUGAUGCCUGUCAGACUGCAUUAUAGGAAGCAACAGAGGGCAGCUAAAAUGUGAAAUGAAGGACAAGGUCUUCAAAGGGUUUGUGCAAUGAAAAAAAAA